rnacentral:lncRNA from 1 species
CACACAGUCGAGGGUACUACGUCAUAUUGCAUGUGUUUACUUUACCAAAUAUGGGAUUACGUAAACACAGCCAUAUGUUGUUUCACUACGUGUGACAAUUUUAUGUUAUCGGGCAUAUAUUUAUUGGAAUCAGAUAUGCAGCCGUCACAGCCAGCUGAUGAAGAUCCUCAGCUUAUACAGAGGUCAGGCUUGAGCUAUGUGCUGAUUCAAAAGAUGCUAAUGACAGUGGAUAAUCCAUUCUGAGCUGUUCUAGGACCAUUCACCAAGAUUCCAAAACACUGAUGGAACUGAAGGCAGUACCUGUAUUGGUGUCUGGCCUGUGAUUUCAAGUAUAAUUGAUGUACCUCCUCCUGAUGUAUCUCCUCGAAUACAAUAUAUCUGCCAUGUGAAAGGAACAAGCUGCAAGAUAUACUGUGGAAGUGGGGGCCUAUGUAAAAAACGUUUUAUUUAAAGAAUAUAAAAAAUCUGACACUAAACUACUGAAAAGGUGCACAGGGGACAUUUUUGUGUGUAUAGACUUUCAUCAAGAUUCUGAGAAAGUUGAUUUAUCAAACAAAAAUAGUCAGAUUGUGUCUUCAAAGCUGAAAAGAUUAAGAUCUUAGGAAAACAUUAGGACUCAAGAAAAGUAAUGGGGUUAUGAAACUGUAGUGUUCAACAUUUAAAUUGUUUUUUGUUUGUUUUUUUCACUACAGUACAUUUUGUGAAGAGGGUUCCAACACAAGAUGCGACAUAUUGCCUGAUAUUGGUAAGAAUGAGAUGUAGUUUAUGAAAAAAAAGUAUUUUGCUUUAAAUGUGCAGACUUUAAGUUACAUAAAAAAUCAAAGCUCUAACAAUAAAGCUUGAUUAAAAAGACACCCUGUUGAAAACUAGCCUUCAUGUAAAUGUCACACUUUUUUGGGUGCACAGGGGACACAAUUAGCUAUAUAAUUUUAUAUAACUUUAACCCUUAGGCCCUUGCUAAAUUUCUAUAAUGAACUUGUAAGUUUUACAAUUUGGACAGUAUUAUUAAGUGUUAAAAGGGGUGCUAACCAAAAGAUACUGACUGAAUGGCGAACAGUGCAGAUAAAGAUCAGACUGCACAGAUGUGCAGGCUUAUCAUGAUCUACACUUGUUGCAAAGGUAGGACCAACCAUGUACAGCAUGAUAAGGGUUAAAACUGCUUGAGCCAUUCAGCUGAAAUUGCAAACAUUUGUUGACUACAUUGAUUGGAUAUAUGUAAUUUGCCCCAAAACACUUUAUAAAACUGAACUGAAUUAAAAUAAGGUGAGAGAGAAGAAAAAGCUUAAUUAUUUAAAAAAAAAACUAUAGCCGAUAGAUAUAUAUUGUUGAAGGCAUUAUCUUUGUUUACAUUAAAUUUAAAUGUGGCUGCCACGUUGUUUGUUAGGAACAUGAGACACAUUAAUUUCUUGUUUUCGAAUUUUAAUUAUCGCAUUUAUGUGUCAAAGAUUGGCAUGGGUGAAAAUGUUACUGAAAAUGUUAAAUCAGUUUUUAUUGAUUAACUCCCUUUUUGGCUUGUGCAGUAUAAAGUCCUGUGCAUUAUUGAAAGUAUAUGUAGUACUUUUCUAACCAACUGAUAAACAUUCUAUUUUUGGAAAGUUUGCUGCAUAAAGUCAAAGGGCUUUUUUUGUAUGAAAUUUACAUGGUGUAGGCCUUAAAGCUGUUUACUUUAAAACCUCCUUGUAUCAUGUUUUCUCUUUUAAUUGACCCUGAGUGGCAGUUCUUGUUAACUACAAAACCAUCUACUAUUAUUGGUUAACUAAUUAUUGGAAUAGUGAUCAUUUUAACAUUGUUUCAUCACAUUGCACUCCUUUAUGGGAAUAGGUAGGCAAUAGCACAUUUAACUAUUAAACUAAUUAUUAAACUAUGUCAUUUGAAUGAAAACAGCCUUAGACACACCUGAAAAUCAGAUAAAUUUGAAAAUACAUGCAAAUUUUUAAAAAUGUUUUUGGAUUUAAGUUAUAACAUUUUCUUAUUUUUAUCUUCAGUUGGUUAUUAAUGCAACUGAUUGUUUUUAUCAACAUCUGUUGUCAGGUGUGUUUCGUCCCAAUUUAAUUUUGUGACCCAUACAGUGUUUCCAGGACUCAUCAGUAAGAGAAACACCGUCAACAACAUAACUUUUAACAUGUGAACAGAAGUUAAUUAUAAACAUUUUCAUAGGAAGAAUAGUGAACUGGAACAGUAAAUGAAAAUUUAAAAGAAAUGAAAAUGAUAACCUGUACACUUUGGCAUUUCAUAUUUUUUUUU